UACGUAGGAUGCAAGCGUUGUCCGGAAUUAUUGGGCGUAAAGAGCGCGCAGGCGGUCUAUCAAGUCAGAUGUGAAAUAUCCAGGCUUAACCUGGAGGGGUCAUUUGAAACUGGUAGACUAGAGUACAGCAGAGGAUAGUGGAAUUCCCGGUGUAGUGGUGAAAUGCGUAGAUAUCGGGAGGAAUACCAGUGGCGAAGGCGACUAUCUGGGCUGAAACUGACGCUGAGGCGCGAAGGCUAGGGGAGCAAACAGG
rnacentral:rRNA from 1 species